rnacentral:lncRNA from 1 species
GGAUCUCCCCACUUAAGAAGAAACCAUUAGCAAGUCUCCUAAUGGUUCUUUUUUUAUCUGCUUUGGCGUGUAUUGGAUAUUCUUUUGACUUUAGGAAGCGUUUGAUAUCAUAGUACCAAGGUUCAUUAUCUGGUUCUGCAUCAAUUAUAUUGCAAUAACCAUGUUGAUCUCGUAUCUGUAUCUCUAAUGGGUCGAGAUGCGUAUUUCCUGGGUAUGGGAGCAUGGAAGCUAGGGUAGCCAGG